UUAGAAUGCCGCCCUGUCACGGCGGAGGUCGCGGGUUCGAGCCCCGUCCGCUGCGCCA
rnacentral:tRNA from 2 species